rnacentral:rRNA from 1 species
CCUACGGGCGGCAGCAGUGGGGAAUAUUGGACAAUGGGGGCAACCCUGAUCCAGCCAUGCCGCGUGUGUGAAGAAGGCCCUCGGGUUGUAAAGCACUUUCAGUGAGGAAGAACGCCUGGUGGUUAAUACCCAUCAGGAAAGACAUCACUCACAGAAGAAGCACCGGCUAACUCCGUGCCAGCAGCCGCGGUAAUACGGAGGGUGCGAGCGUUAAUCGGAAUUACUGGGCGUAAAGCGCGCGUAGGUGGCUUGAUAAGCCGGUUGUGAAAGCCCCGGGCUCAACCUGGGAACGGCAUCCGGAACUGUCCAGCUAGAGUGCAGGAGAGGAAGGUAGAAUUCCCGGUGUAGCGGUGAAAUGCGUAGCGAUCGGGAGGAAUACCAGUGGCGAAGGCGGCCUUCUGGACUGACACUGACACUGAGGUGCGAAAGCGUGGGUAGCAAACAGGAUUAGAUACCCGGGUAGUC